CAGAACUCCAAUGUUUUGCUUUAAGGCUCCGGGAGAGUCAUCUGGGGAGGACGGAAGAGCUGUUUCCUCCCAUCAGAUUCCCUCUAAACCCGACCUCCAUGGACAGAAUAUUCUUGUCUCCUCCAGGCCUCUACACUUGCUGGUCCUUUCUCUGCAUUUCAUCCUGCUAGCUCCAGGAUGCUCCUCCUAGAAUCCACUUGUGUAUCUCAUCCCGUCACCUCCUAACGCUGAACAUAUUGUGUUGUCACAGAUUUCCUCAGGGAAUCAGACCCAGGACCCCAGAAGGAACCAAAACUGAAAGGCUCUUCAGGUCCUAUAACGAUAGGGUGUUUAUAUGGAACCCCAUCCUCCUAGAACUCCCCUGCCUCAAAGGAACGAGAUGACGAAUGAGGAUGCCUAAAACCUCCUCUGGCCUCCGAGAGUCCAUGGGUCCAAGCACCUGCACAUGACACAUGCAUAAGUAAUGAUCACCCAGUGCCCAAUGCUGAGCCUGUGGCUACGGAGAGAGAGAGCAGACAUAUCUUCUUGCCUCUGGCUACUAGACUGCCCUGAGAUCAGAGAGAUCCUGCACCAGGUGCCUGGGUUGUACAGAACCAGGGACGGAACGUAUGGUGUUGGGUGUGAUAGGUAAUCACUUAGCUACAUCACCCACAUCCCUGCCUGUCACUGUCUUUAAUAUACAUCAUAUCUUAAGCGGUACCUCUGUUUGGUCUCAAACUACAACUUAGCUGGAAGCCCACACCCUGCCAUUUCUCCCCAAGUGCCCGCACUACAAUCCCUCCCACGGGGUGUAGUUCCUCUUUCCUGGGUAAAUUAUUUUGCAGGUGGUGUCACUGGCCACUGGCUUUUAAUCCUUUUCAGAUGGCAUUCAGUAAUUCAUAGAUUGUUCAUGAAACGCAACCUUGCACACACGCGCGCGCACACAGAGCAGCCUUUAUAGGAAACCCUCCUGUUCCCUCCCUCCCCGUGCCACCUGUUCCUGGAAGAGAACAGGCUUUCCCCUGGGGAGGAUGGAAUGUUCCACAAAAGGACAGUUGGCUCUUCUCCCCAGCUCCAAGAGGAACUCUUAGUCAUCUAACAUCUGCCUCUCUUGUUUAAGUAAAAAAUUCUUUGCAAAGACAGAUCUUGUCUUCAGCCCCAUGGAUCCGGCUCACAGGGUACACGUCUAAAAAUACUUAGGGGCUGGAGAGAGGGCCCAGUGGUUAAGAACACUUGCUGUUCUGACCAAAGGACCUGAGGGGCUCACAACCAUUUGUGCAUGUUCUCAAACAGGCGCGUGCGAGAGCACGUGUGCACACACAUACCUG
rnacentral:lncRNA from 1 species